rnacentral:tRNA from 1 species
AGCUCAAUUGGUUAGAGCGCAUCACUUCUAAUGAUGAGGUUGCUGGUUCAAGUCCGGCC